UUGGAGGGCAAGUCUGGUGCCAGCAGCCGCGGUGAUUCCAGCUCCAAUAGCGUAUAUUAAAGUUGUUGCAGUUAAAAAGCUCGUAGUUGAAUUUCGGAAUCUGUCCAUCGGUCGGGCUUCAUUGUUCGUACUGGUGUGGUGGGUUCUUACCUUCUGAAUAACCAGCAUGCCAUUCACUUGGUGCGUUGGGGAAGCAGGACUAUUACCUUGAAAAAAUUAGAGUGCUCAAAGCAGGCCAGUGCCUGAAUACAUUAGCAUGGAAUAAUAAAAUAGGACGGCAUAGUUCUAUUUUGUUGGUUUCUAGGAUCACCGUAAUGAUUAAUAGGGAUAGUUGGGGGCAUUAGUAUUCAAUUGUCAGAGGUGAAAUUCUUGGAUUUAUUGAAGACUAACUUCUGCGAAAGCAUUUGCCAAGGAUGUUUUCAUUAAUCAAGAACGAAAGUUAGGGGAUCGAAGACGAUCAGAUACCGUCGUAGUCUUAACCAUAAACUGUGCCGACUAGGGAUCGGACGAUGUUAAUUUUUUAAUGACUCGUUCGGCGCCUUACGGGAAAC
rnacentral:rRNA from 1 species